AUACAGAGGGUGCAAGCGUUAAUCGGAAUUACUGGGCGUAAAGCGCGCGUAGGCGGUUUGUUAAGUUGGAUGUGAAAGCCCCGGGCUUAACCUGGGAGGGUCAUUCAAAACUGGCAGACUAGAGUGUGGUAGAGGGUAGUGGAAUUCCUAGUGUAGCGGUGAAAUGCGUAGAGAUUAGGAGGAACACCAGUGGCGAAGGCGACUGCCUGGACCAACACUGACGCUGAGGUGCGAAAGCGUGGGUAGCGAACAGGAGUAGAAACCCGGGUAGUCC
rnacentral:rRNA from 1 species